GAUCCUGGCUCAGGACGAACGCUGGCGGCGUGCCAAACACAUGCAAGUCGAACGGAACUGUUUUGAAAGAUUUCUUCGGAAUGAAUUUGAUUUAGUUUAGUGGCGGACGGGUGAGUAACGCGUGAGUAACCUGCCUUCAAGAGGGGGAUAACAUUCUGAAAAGAAUGCUAAUACCGCAUGACAUAUCGGAAUCACAUGGUUUUGAUAUCAAAGAUUUUAUCGCUUGAAGAUGGACUCGCGUCCG
rnacentral:rRNA from 1 species